AACCUAUAAAGAGUGCGUGAGAGACAAGCUCGAUGACCGCACGACAACCUGCCUAACGGUAAGGUGCCAAUGCUUGAACGAUGGGUU
rnacentral:ncRNA from 2 species